CAUGAGUAUCGCAGGCGGUCUCGAGUCGUAAACUCGGGUCAGAUUCCAUGCAUAGGGUGUUUUUUAAUUUAGUUUUUUUUUUUUUUUGUGGACUAUGCGAAAAUCUGCCGAAUCGUCGAUCGUUUCCAAAACAAUCGCUGGUAUUGUUAUUGGCCGCAUCUGCUACCACCCGGACCAAACCCGCAAUAUCCCUUUUUAAUGCAAUAAUUAUUAUAAUCCCAUAUACGAUAUAAUACCCCAGAAAUUGAUGUGAUAUUCCACGAAUAAGGUGAGCGCUAAGCGAGAGGGGAAACCCGCCAGAUUUGCGCGAAUAAUAUACAGGGUGAGCCGAUAAAAGCGACAACGUUUCCGAGGAUUGUUGCGAAAAUCGGUAGAAAAUUCAACUACAGUGGUGUUGGCGUAAUU